CCCCCGGCCGAGGGCGGGCGCGCCGCCGACAGGCACUCCCGGGGCGCAGGCCGCAGCCUCGCGUCCACCCUGGAUCCCGGCUCUUCCUCCCCGUGCUGCCUUCUCCUGUUUGCUCCUGCUCCCCGGGUUCAGGUAAGUGCCUGCAGGAGUGUCAGGAUUCCUGACCUGGCCCCCGCCAUGGAGGCCUCCAUAUGCCAACUUCAGAGGCGUGAUAAUUCCUUACAAUUUACAACAGCUCCGAGUUCCCAUUGUGGCUCGGCGAAUUACAAACCCGGCUAGUGUCCAUGAGGAUUCAGGUUCAAUCCCUUGGCUCGCUCAGUGGGUUAACGAUCCAGGGUUACCAUGAGCUGUGGUAUAGGUCGCAGACUGGGCUCGGAUCCUGCAUUGCUGUGGCUGUGGUGCAGGCCAGCGGCUGCAGCUCUGAUUCAACCCCUAGCCUGGGAACCUCCAUAUGCAGUGGGUGCGGCCCUAAAAAGCAAAAAAAGGAAAAACAACUUACAACAGCUGGAACGUCUUAUUUUGCGACUUUCCCUUUCCCAUCUGAGGGAUCUGAGUUUUUAGGUUUGGGUCGAAGGGCCAAAUGGCAGCACCCAGCCCAGAGGUCUUUCCCCUGUCGCGGCUGUCACCAAAGGGGUACCAUCUGCCUCUCAGGAAGAGCACGGUCCUGGGCCAACCUGCAGUUAAAGCAGGGCUCCCCUUCUCCCCAUCUCAGCCAGAAUUUCCUGCCCAUUUUUCUGAGUUUUCAGCUCAGCUUCUCUGUCAUUGGACAUAUUUGGCCAGAGCCUCUCACUCUCACGCCCUUGCUGGUCACCCUCACUAGUCACUGACUUGUUGCCAUGGCAGCAGCCUGUCCCAGAGCUGGCGCCCCUCCCCUUCCCCGCCAGGUUUGCACGUUCCCAGGCAGUGGCCCUGGAGAGCUGGGACACGGCAGGGGAUGCCCUACCCAGGCUUGAGCGCCAAGAGUUCGAGAGCUGUUUUCCCAGAGGGCCGGGCGGCAAGUUGGCCAAACCUGCCCCGUGGGAUUCUCUGGCUGGGUGUAAUGCCACAGCCCACCCCACUGGUCCCCCUGCUGGCCGCUCAGUGAGCCUUGGAGGUCAGGGUGGGGAGGUCAGGGUGGCAGGAGGGGCACGCAGAGCAAGCCCAGGCCGAAAGCCAGGCCCCGCCUGCUGGCCUAGGUUGAGCCAGACAUGGUUGGGGUGGCGGCGGCAGGCUGGGUGAAGGAGGCUGCUCCUAGGGGCCGGGGUGGCAGAAGGAGCUGGUUGCAUGGACCCUCCUCUUGGAUCUUCAUACGGCCCGAGAAGGCGUGGAGCUGGGCAGCUGCGCCCAGGGCGGCAGCCACCUAUCUCCGCAGGCUGCGUGCUGCUGUGCGGCUCAUCUCCUGGCUUGGUGGACUUGACACCAAGGUCCCUGACUUGCUCCACGGCUUCUGUCCUCACUGGUGGCUCAGCUCGAUGCUUCCUCCAGCCCCGUCCACAGUCUGAUUAUCUCAGUGUUCCAGAUGUUCCUGUGCUGGGCUGAACUCUGCCUCAUCAGAAUGUCCACCCUUCUCCCAACCUCAGGCUUUUAUUUUCGACACAGAAACGGGAAACUGGGGGAAGGGAGGCUGAGUGCCAUGGCGAUAGAGCGAGUGGUCUGAGGGCAGCAGAUGGAAUUAUUGGGGGUCAGCGGGAUGCCUGAGCUGGUAAGCAGAGGCCCCCGCCCGGGGACUGCUGGGUGUCCUGUAUGGCGGCUGCGCUGACUGGAGCAAGGCCUACAGGCGCGCCCACAGCCAGAUGUGCCUGUCCCGCUGCGCCCUUUCCUGCUCCAGCACCCCCACCGCCCCCCGCCCUCGCCGUGCUUUUUCAUCUCUUCCGGCUCUUCCUCCACCCUGGCACACGCACACCUGAGCCGCUGAGCGGCCCCUUCCUUGGCCUGCGCUGCAGGCCUGUGCUCUGGGCAGGUGCCUGAUUCCUCUCCUUACAGGGAAAAAAGGACUCAGAAAAGAGAGGGGCUUAGGGUAAGAGGCAGAGUGGAAGGGAGCCUUCAACCAGGCUGAAGGGACACUGCCCGGGAUGGACUGGGGCUACCAGGCAGCUCUAAGGGCCUGGGUUGGGGGCCAGGCGAGGCUGGUCCGGGGAGAAUUCUGUUUCUAGUUGGACGCUGUUUGACAGCCCGAGGGCCUGUGAAGGAUCCCUUUGACCAGAGGCCUGGGGUAAAACUAGACCUCUUCCUUCUUCUCGUAGCUCCUCUCUGAGUCUUGAGCUGCAAACUGGCCUCUCCUGCUGACUUUCCCAUUUCCGCUCUUCUGGGCCCAGGCGUCCACCUCAGGGUGAUAGCUCUCACUUUCCACGUCUAAUCAGUUAUCAAAUGCUGAAGGUCCCUCGCAAGACAGUUGCCUUUUAUUUCCCCUUCCUCCGCCAGCCCACGUGCCUGCUCCCGCGUCUGGGCCACUGUGAUAGCCUCCCAGCCGUGACGGCCUCUGGUCUGUCCAGAGGCACGACCGGAGUCAUCUUUCAGGAGGAUGGCAUCACUGCACAUGUUACUCCCACGCUUCGUUUUGUGUUUUUUUUUUUCUUGGCUGCACCCAAGGUGUAUGGAUGUUCCUGGGCCGGGGAUCGAAUCCAAGCCACAGCUUCGGCAGCAUGGGAUCCUCAACCUGCUGCACCACAGCAGGCACUCUGUUAGUCCCAUGUUCAUUGCCUUCCGUGGUGCUCCUUAUGGCUUGCUCGGUGCACUACAGACUUGUGGCGCAGCGGGAAUGAAUCUGACUAGGAACCAUGAGGUUGCGGGUUCCAUCCCUGGCCUCGCUCCGUGGGUUAAGGAUCCAGCAUUGCUGUGGCUGUGGUGUAGGCUGGCGGCUGUAGCUCCUAUUUGGCCUCUAGCCUGGGAACCUCCAUAUGCCGCGGGAGCGGCCCAAGAAAUGGCAAAAAAGACAAAAAAAAAAAAAAAA
ensembl:lncRNA